AGAGUUUGAUCCUGGCUCAGAUUGAACGCUGGCGGCAGGCCUAACACAUGCAAGUCGAACGGUAACAGGAAGCAGCUUGCUGCUUCGCUGACGAGUGGCGGACGGGUGAGUAAUGUCUGGGAAACUGCCUGAUGGAGGGGGAUAACUACUGGAAACGGUAGCUAAUACCGCAUAACGUCGCAAGACCAAAGAGGGGGACCUUAGGGCCUCUUGCCAUCGGAUGUGCCCAGAUGGGAUUAGCUAGUAGGUGGGGUAACGGCUCACCUAGGCGACGAUCCCUAGCUGGUCUGAGAGGAUGACCAGCCACACUGGAACUGAGACACGGUCCAGACUCCUACGGGAGGCAGCAGUGGGGAAUAUU
rnacentral:rRNA from 1 species